rnacentral:rRNA from 1 species
AUUGAACGCUGGCGGCAGGCCUAACACAUGCAAGUCGAACGGUAACAGGAAGCAGCUUGCUGCUUCGCUGACGAGUGGCGGACGGGUGAGUAAUGUCUGGGAAACUGCCUGAUGGAGGGGGAUAACUACUGGAAACGGUAGCUAAUACCGCAUAACGUCGCAAGACCAAAGAGGGGGACCUUAGGGCCUCUUGCCAUCGGAUGUGCCCAGAUGGGAUUCGCUAGUAGGUGGGGUAACGGCUCACCUAGGCGACGAUCCCUAGCUGGUCUGAGAGGAUGACCAGCCACACUGGAACUGAGACACGGUCCAGACUCCUACGGGAGGCAGCAGUGGGGAAUAUUGCACAAUGGGCGCAAGCCUGAUGCAGCCAUGCCGCGUGUAUGAAGAAGGCCUUCGGGUUGUAAAGUACUUUCAGCGGGGAGGAAGGGAGUAAAGUUAAUACCUUUGCUCAUUGACGUUACCCGCAGAAGAAGCACCGGCUAACUCCGUG